AUCGCUUCUCGGCCUUUUGGCUAAUAUCAUGUGUAGUAUCUGUUCUUGUCAGCUUAAUAUCUGACACGCUGAGUAUUUCCUGAUGCCAAUAAUAAACUGAUUUUUGCUUCUCGAGUUAAUACCCAUGCUUGCUUCAGUUGACUCACGGAUUGUCCUGGUCUUACAUUACCAUCAUGAUAAGUCUGCUUCAG